AUUACAGGAAUGUAUGUGGUGUCCUUUGAAUGCUGCAAAACCCUGGCCUCUGACCCUUCCAGGUCCAUUUCAUUAACUUGGCCUCUCGGAGAGCCGGUCCAGAGCACAGGGAAGGUUCACUCAGCUUUCCCAGAGAUGAGCCACAGAGAGGAGACAGAGUGACUAGGAUGAAAUCAAGUGAUGCUGCCUCCUUCUGUUCCUUCCCCAUCAAGACUACACUUUUCCUCACUUCUCAUAAACAACUUUGCAGUCAUUGUCCUCAUUUUGGUUUUAUCUUUAUGAAUUCUAACCUGUUGAGAUCUUUUCAAGUUGCAAAUCUAUUAUCCAAUCCAGCCAUUUCAUCUACUGUUGUGAUUGAUGCCUUCACAUUCAACCCAUUAAUUAAAAUGAAGCAUUGAUUUGAGGACUCAGUUCAAGUGUUUCCUGUUGCCUGAAUACUUUCCUCGUCUCUUUAGCUAAAAGUUGAGCAGCUAGGUGGUGCAGUGGAUAGAGUGCUGGACCUGAAGUCAGGACGAUUCAUCUUCCUUCAAAUCUAGCCCUAGAUAUGUAUUAGCUAGCUAUGUGGCCCUGGGUAAGUCACCUAACCCUGUUUGCUUUAGUUUCCUUCUCUGUAAAAUGACCUAGAGAAGGAAAUGCCAAACCACUACACUAUCUUUGCCAAUAAAGCCCCAAAUGGGCUCA
rnacentral:lncRNA from 1 species